AUUGAACGCUGGCGGCAGGCCUAACACAUGCAAGUCGAACGGUAGCACAGAGAGCUUGCUCUCGGGUGACGAGUGGCGGACGGGUGAGUAAUGUCUGGGAAACUGCCCGAUGGAGGGGGAUAACUACUGGAAACGGUAGCUAAUACCGCAUAACGUCGCAAGACCAAAGUGGGGGACCUUCGGGCCUCACACCAUCGGAUGUGCCCAGAUGGGAUUAGCUAGUAGGUGGGGUAAUGGCUCACCUAGGAGACGAGCCCUAGCUGGUCUGAGAGGAUGACCAGCCACACUGGAACUGAGACACGGUCCAGACUCCUACGGGAGGCAGCAGUGGGGAAUAUUGCACAAUGGGCGCAAGCCUGAUGCAGCCAUGCCGCGUGUAUGAAGAAGGCCUUCGGGUUGUAAAGUACUUUCAGCGGGGAGGAAGGCGGUGAAGUUAAUAACUUCACCGAUUGACGUUACCCGCAGAAGAAGCACCGGCUAACUCCGUGCCAGCAGCCGCGGUAA
rnacentral:rRNA from 1 species